UGAGAAUGAGAAUAACAAUUAUAUAUGAAAAUGAUAGGAAUGAUUGUGGGCUUUUAGAUUUGUAAUUGAUGGCAGAGAUUAGAAAGUCGCAAUAAAGGUAUCACGUGACUUGUGUUUUCUUAUUUCUGAGUUACGAAAUCUCUUUCUUCUCCAUCUCACUCCCUGUAUACAUUCUUAUUUCUAAAAUUUCUUGAGCCAAAACCACUAUUGUCAUUGUGGUGAUUUAUGAAUUUUAAUUUACUAUUAUCAAUUUAAUUGUUUUCCAUCAUAAGUGUUGUUUUUGUAAUUUGAAAAUUACGACAGAGCUUUGAAACUAUUACCGGGGUGAGUCACGACCAGGUCGCUUUCUUUAAGACGUUUCGCGGCACUACCUAAGUUGUGCAAGGUAGACUAGCAACCGCGCCGUUUCCAGGAUAAAACAGCCCAGAUUCUAACUGUACGAUUAAAGGCUGCACUGCCAGAAAUCGCUCGAGAAUAACACCUCAAUAUGGUUUUCGAAAAGUUUCGAAAAACCACUCUAAUAUGGUACAUAGACCACUCGAUAAACCAAAGAAGGAGGAAAGAAAAAACGGUUCGUCAACACAAACCGCGGGAGGGAGAAGAGAGGAGAGAAAACCAGAGAAGAGUAUUCGAUUCUCAGUUUUGGAGUGAAGAAUACUAUUCCCGAGCUCUCAAUUUAUAAGGAGGAUUUAUACUAGAGUGUGUGAUCUACCCGAUGUGGGACAUAAAAUUUUCAAUUCACACUUUACACUAGUUUCUCCAUCCUUGUGUUUACAUUCCAAAGGCUCCACAAACUCACUAGUAUACUCCAAGUUUUUUUUCAUUAUACACUAGUGUUCCAACAAUCCCCCACUUGAAUUCAAAAUUGGUUUCGAAAGUUACGUUUUAAACGUUUCUUAAAGAUUGCUAGUAAACAAAGGUGUCGCCAACAACUUGAACCUUUGCAUAGUGAGUAGUAUUCUGAUUAACAAGAGUUGCUUACAACAUUGAACUCUAUCUCAGACAUAGGACCCACACACAACCUUUUCUUAGGUGUUUUCUAAAAAGCCCGUGCGUUAAUGGCCUUGCACGUCUAUCCCAGUUUUAACGAAUGCUCUAGGAAUUCUGCCUCGAAAUUCCAUAAGAACCGGCCUCAGUUCUACAUACGUAUAGGUGAGUCUAUCAGAAGUACUCCUGUAGCUAUGUACUUCACUCCAUAAGAAGUAUAGAUCUCAUUAAGAGUUUCUAUUAUCUCAACCUUCGGUCACUGUAGGAUCAUGCGUUCUCAUAGCAUGUUCUAUCACUUGUGAUUUGUUAUUACCCAUUGAACCUAGUUCUUGGAAUCUCCAGUCAUUUAGGCCGGGUUUCCAUCACUUAUGAUCAAUAGGCAUUAGUCUCAUCCUACUGGAUGUAUUUGUGACUUUCUCUCUGUUUAGUCCUUUCGUCAAAGGAUCAACUAAGUUUUCAUUUGUUCGUACGAAAUCUACUCUUACUGUUCCGUUCGAAAGAUAUUCUCUUAUCGUGCUGUGUUUUCGUCUUAUUUAUCGUCUCUUACCAUUGUAAUAACGAUUAUCAACCUUUGCGAUAGCCACGGUACUAUCACAAUGAAUUAACACAGCUGGUAACGGUCUCUCCCAUAAAGGGAUUUCAGAUAGCAAGCAUCUUAGCCAACUUGCUUCUUCACUAGCAGCAGCCAGUGCUAUCAUCUCAGAUUCCAUUGUGGACUGAGCCAGAAUGGUCUGUGUCUUGGAUUUCCAGGAAACAGCUCCUCCGGCAAUGCUAAAUAUAUAGCCACUGGUCGCUUUGGAAUCAUCUGAUAAGGUGUUCCAAUCUGCGUCACUGUAUCCUUCAAGCACUGCAGGAUAUCUCUAAUAAUGCAGUCCUAGAGUCAUGGUCUUCUUCAAGUAUCUCAUGACUCUUUCGAUAGCUUGCCAAUGCUCCAUGCUUGGCCUGCUCGUAAACUUGCAUAAUAGUCCCACGGCGUAGCCGAUGUCAGGUCUAGUACAAUCAGUGGCAUAUCUGAGACUGUCAAUGAUGCUCGCAUAUUCAGUUUGUCUAACACUAUCUCCAGUGUUCUUAAAUAGCUUCACACUUGGGUCACAAGGUGUGCUCGCAGGUUUACAAUUGAAGUAAUUAUAUUUCCUUAAGAUCUUCUCAACGUAGUGAGAUUGAUUCAAGGAAAUUCCAUUAUCAGUUCUAGUAAUCUUGAUUCCAAGAAUUACAUCUGCUUCUCCUAGGUCUUUCAUAUCAAAGUUGUGGCACAACAAUGAUUUCACAUCUUUAGUGGCAUUAAGGUUUGAACCAAAUAUGAGUAAGUCGUCUACGUAUAGACAUAUGAUCGUGCAAGUGUUAUUUUCGUACGUGGAAUAAAUACACUUGUCACUUUCAUUCACCUUAAACUCAUUCUCAAUCAUAAGAUUGUCGAAUUUCUCAUGCCAUUGUUUCGGUGCUUGUUUUAGACCAUACAAAGAUUUGUCUAACUUACAAACUUUGUUCUCUUGUCCAUGGAUUACGAAACCUUCAGGUUGGUCCAUGUAGAUUUCUUCUUCUAAUUCACCGUUUAAAAAAGCAGUUUUUACAUCCAUUUGGUGUACUAUCAAAUUGUGGAUGGCCGCCAAAGAGAUUAGUACCCUAAUGGACGUGAUUCUAGUUACAAGCGAAUAUGUGUCAAAGAAAUCUACAUUUUCUCUUUGUCUAAAACCUUUGGCUACAAGGCGUGCCUUGUAUUUGUCGAUUGACCCAUCAGGUUUUAGUUUCUUUUUCAAGAUCCAUUUACAACCUAUAGUCUUGCAUCCAGGAGACAAGUCAGUUAGGUGCCAGGUUUCGUUGGACAUUAGAGAAUCCAUUUCAUCAUUUAUAGCUUCUUGCCAUAAAUCAGCGUCAAUUGAAGACAGAGCUUCCUUGAUGCUUGAUGGAUCCUCCUCUAUAGUAUACGCCACAUAUUCGGGGCCAUAUUCUUUAGCAAUUCUUGCUCUCUUACCUCUACGAGGUUCUAUAACAUCUCUUUCGAUGUUUUCAUUGCUUGUUAUGAUUUCAGAAGGUUGAUCAAGAACUGAGUUAUCGGUGCCCCCACUAUUACCCCCACUGUCUCCUGACUUAAAGGGAAAUUUAUUUUCAUAGAAGUCAACAUCAUUUGAUUCUAUGAUCGUUUUAGAUUUCAGGUCGUAAAACCUAUAGGCUUUACUAUUUAAGGCAUACCCAAUGAAUACACAUUCAUAGGCUCUACUUGCUAGUUUGACUCUUUUGGGGUCUGGUUUUCUUACAUAGGCUGGGCAGCCCCAUGUUCUAAAAUAAGACAAGUUUGGUUGUCUUUUCUUCAAAAUUUCAUAUGGAGAAAUUUUGUUCUUUGUUUUGGGUACUCUGUUUAGCACAUAGCAAACAGUCAAUAAAAUUUCUCCCCACCAAUGAGGCGCUGCUUCGGAAUUAAGCAUUGUUGCAACUACUAAUUCGGUAAACGUUCUAUUUUUUCUUUCUGCUUUACCGUUCAUUUCAGGAGAAUAAGGAGCAGUUGUUUCAUGAAUAAUUCCGAGUUCUUUAUAAUACUCAUUGAAUGUAUGUGAUCCAUAUUCAGUACCUCUGUCACUUCUAAAACGCUUGAUUCUAAUAUUGAAUUGAUUUUCAAUUUCUUUUACAUACUGUUUAAAUAUUUCAAGCGCUUCAUUUUUAUUUCUCAUUAAAUACACAUGUGUGUAAUCCGAGCAGUCAUCUAUAAAAGUGAUGAAAUAUCUUUUUCCAUUUCUAGUCAAGUUUCCAUCUAAUUCGCAUAAAUCAGAAUGAAUUAAUUCGAAAGGUUCAGUUAUCCUGGUUACCGAUUUAUGUGAUUCUUUAUUUAUUUUUGCUUGACUACAAAAUUGACAUUUUUCAAAAUCGUUUAAAGAUAUUUUAGGAAUUAAUCCUAAACCGCUCAUAUUUGAAAUAAUUCUUUUGUUAACGUGACAGAGUCUAGAAUGCCAAAUAUUAAAAUCACACAAUAUAUAAGCAGAAGAAGAAAUUUUAUUCAAAUCAAUGUUCAACUUAAACAUACCAUCAGUGGCGUACCCUUUCCCAACAAAAUUAUCAUUCUUAGUGAUGGUGUACAAAUCAGCCCCUAUGCUUUGAGUAAACCCAACCUUAUUCAAAAGAAAACCUGAAACUAAAUUCUUCCUAAUUUUAGGAGUGUGCAGCACAUCCUUCAGUAUCAGAGUCUUUCCAGAGGUGAACUUCAGCUCUAUAUCUCCGAUUCCAGCAACAUCAGUGGAGUGGGAGUCUCCCAACAACACCUUCUGAUCAUCACAAGCAGUAUAUGUUUUGAACAUAUCUCUAUCAUAGCAGACAUGGCGAGAAGCACCAGUGUCUACCCACCAGCCAUCAGAACCUGCAAUCAUAUUAAUCUCAGUAAUCAUAGCCACGUAGGGCUCAUCAGGUGCAGCAGCAGUAGCCAUGUGAGCCUGUGCUGGUCGGUUGGUUCUGUUUCUGCACUUGCGUGCCAUAUGACCUGCUUGCCCACAAUUGUAACAGUUGAAAGGUGGAGCAACAUCAUUCUUUGGUGGCUGUUGAAUCUGGGGUCUUGGAUUGUUCCCAGUCUUAUUCAUGUUGGAAUUCUUAUUCAUAGGGCGGUUUUGAUUCUUAAAUGGUUUGCCAGUAGGCUUCAGAACAACACCUACAAAUUUCUUUUUAGUGUUGUUGUUAGAAACAGCAAACACCUCUUCAUUCUGGUCCUGCUUUCUCGCUUCUUCUUCAAUACGAAGGCGAGUAAUCAGACUUUUAAGAGAGAACUCCUUAGUUUUGUGUCUAAGAAGACUCUUGAAGUCCUUCCAGGCAGGAGGCAGCUUAUCAAUAAUCACAGCUAUUUGGAACUGUUCGGGAAGUGUCAUCCCUUCAGCUAUGAUCUCGUGAGCAAUUUGUUGCAGCUCAUGUGAUUGUGCCUCAACGGACUUAUCAUCACUCAUUUUGAAAUUCAGAUAGCGGCUUACGGCGUAUUUCUUAACACCAGCCUCUUCAGUAUCAUACUUCUUCUGAAGUGCUUCCCAUAAUUGUUUAGCAGUAUCACAGAGUCUAUAAUAAUCAUACAGAGGGUCUGUGAGUCUAUUAAGAAUAUAAUUCUUACAGAGGUAGUCAUUUUCCUUCCAUAGAGCAAUAUCUAUGGCUAGCUGUUUAUCUGGGUCAGCUUUCUCAGGUUCAGCUUUCUUAGCAGCAGUAGGGUCUGCUGCCUUACCGUUAUUAUUCGCUCCAGCAGGAGUCGAACUCGUAGGUGCUACAGGCAUAGCUUCCUUCAAAACGUAGGCAACCUUUUUAGUGGUCAAGAAGAACAGCAUCUUUUGCUGCCAACGUUUGAAGUGGCUACCCGUAAACAGAAACGGUUUGUUAAAGUCAUCAGCUGAAACCGCGGUAAUUUUUUCAAAACUCAUCGUAUCGUAUUCGAAACGUCUUAAAAAUGUUGUUUUUGUAAUUUGAAAAUUACGACAGAGCUUUGAAACUAUUACCGGGGUGAGUCACGACCAGGUCGCUUUCUUUAAGACGUUUCGCGGCACUACCUAAGUUGUGCAAGGUAGACUAGCAACCGCGCCGUCUCCAGGAUAAAACAGCCCAGAUUCUAACUGUACGAUUAAAGGCUGCACUGCCAGAAAUCGCUCGAGAAUAACACCUCAAUAUGGUUUUCGAAAAGUUUCGAAAAACCACUCUAAUAUGGUACGUAGACCACUCGAUAAACCAAAGAAGGAGGAAAGAAAUAACGGUUCGUCAACACAAACCGGGAGGGAGAAGAGAGGAGAGAAAACCAGAGAAGAGUAUUCGAUUCUCAGUUUUGGAGUGAAGAAUACUAUUCCCGGGCUCUCAAUUUAUAAGGAGGAUUUCUACUAGAGUGUGUGAUCUACCCGAUGUGGGACAUAAAAUUUUCAAUUCACACUUUACACUAGUUUCUCCAUCCUUGUGUUUACAUUCCAAAGGCUCCACAAACUCACUAGUAUACUCCAAGUUUUUUUUCAUUAUACACUAGUGUUCCA
rnacentral:lncRNA from 1 species